UACGUAGGGGGCAAGCGUUGUCCGGAUUUAUUGGGCGUAAAGAGCGUGUAGGCGGCCAUACAGGUCCGUUGUGAAAACUGGAGGCUUAACCUCCAGACGUCGAUGGAAACCGUAUGGCUAGAGUCCGGAAGAGGAGAGUGGAAUUCCUGGUGUAGCGGUGAAAUGCGCAGAUAUCAGGAGGAACACCGGUGGCGAAGGCGGGUCUCUGGGCAGUAACUGACGCUGAGGAGCGAAAGCGUGGGGAGCGAACAGG
rnacentral:rRNA from 1 species